GGGGAGAGAAAGAAAUGGAGUCACUGGUGCUGGAGAGAGUUACUGCCCCGCGCGGAGAAGCCCUCCUUUCUCUGCCUCUCGCCCCUCUCUGCUUUCUUGGCUGGGGUUUGUUCAUGACAGAAGGGCUGCGUGUUUGUUUGGGGGGGCUUGUUGUGUGUGUGUGUGUGUGUGUGUGUGUGUGUGUGGUUUUUUUUACAUACAAAAAAAAACCGGUGGCUAUAAUCAGCUGCAGAGAGGAUCUCUCCGGUUUAGUCCCUGCCAAUUUCCCCGAGAGCUGGCACUGCAGGGGACUCCAGAGGCAAAGAGGAAGGUGAGGGAGGACGGAUUGUGAAGGGAGAGGAAAUGGACACAUGCCAUCGAUGAAGCGACGAGGCUGUCAUUGCCAGAGUGCCAGCAGACAGCAUGGGGCCAAAAAAAAAAAAAAAAAGCUGGCAACCCAUCUUGAAGCAGGCGGCGGCGGCGGCUGAGUUGGCAGAGGUGCCAUGGAGGACGGGCUGCAGAGAGCAGGCGAACCGGGAGAGCGAGAGAAAGGGAGACGGGGAGAGACGCGGCGGCAGAGGGGGAACAGGUAACGGCCGGUGGACCCGGACAAGCUCAAGAGUGAAGGUGUGGAACAUGGGGCAGGAGAUGGGGAAGUCAAAGGAAGUCAAUGGAGGACAGAAGGCACCUGAAAUUCCAGACUAGGGAUCCUACAUUUAGUGGAACAAAGGGCAAAAGAUCCUUGGAGUCCUACAUGCUGCAACAUGAAAUCUCGUAUCCCGAGGAAUACAGAGGGGCUGCAGCCCAGGGAUCCUCGAAUGGAUAGAGGCCAUGGUGGUAACAACAGGCCUUUCUCUCUUUGGCAUCAGGCCCAAACAACAGUGAUAUCGUGUUCCCCUGGAGGAGUCUCACCUCACCGGCAUCUCUCUCAUACCACCACAUCAGAAAACAGCAAAGACUCCCAUCCAGGGACUUGUUGUUCAUCCUUUUCCUGCAGCCAAGAAGAGAAUUCCCAGAGUGGGUCAGAUGUUUGGAUUAGACUUGUCUGACAAGCUCACGUGUUCUUGGGGAAAAAUGGUUCAAAUGGAUGAAGCACUCCUGUCACUUGCAGCACACAGUACCAACACCAAAGAGUCAGUUUCACUGAACUCUAGCUAUAUAGGGGCCCCGGAGGUGGGACCCUCCAAACUCCUCUGAAUCGGCUGUAUGUGCACCAUGAUCCUCUCCUUCCUUGAAGCCGGAUUCUGCUGCAGCUGGUGGCUGAGGGACCGCCAACAGCGCUCCCUGUUCUGACACACUUUCUGCCUACAAAUGCCCUUGCCAUGGCCACGUGGGCACUGGAGGCUGGUCCCCUGGGGGAUGGGCCUACGUGGAACCGGAAGGCUGCCCACCCAUUCUGGAUGGCCCCUUGGGGAGAGAAGGGCACUUCUCCUGGCUUGGUAGCAACCAAAAUGAAGGCUAAGCUGUAUCCUCCUCCCAUCCCCUGGGGAGCUGCCUUCCACUCCCCGCCGGACCCCCCAUCUCAUAGCCAUCAUUUUCCCUCUCCUUUUUCAGUGCUCUGAGUAACCGGGGCUGAGACUGGCUGCACGGAGCAGAGGAUGGGGCUGGCCCACCAAGGGUUAACCGCUGAUUACAGCCUUUGUCUCUGCAUCAGUGUACAUAAUGCGCUCCUCAUUUGCAUACUGCAGUGUGCGCUCAAUUAAAAUGAACUUUUAAUUUCUUCUAA